AUUGAACGCUGGCGGCAUGCCUUACACACGCAAGUCGAACGGCAGCACGGGAGCAAUCCUGGUGGCGAGUGGCGAACGGGUGAGUAAAGUAUCGGAACGUGCCCAGUCGUGGGGGAUAACGUAGCGAAAGUUACGCUAAUACCGCAUACGAUCUAUGGAUGAAAGCGGGGGAUCGCAAGACCCCGCGCGAUUGGAGCGGCCGAUAUCAGAUUAGGUAGUUGGUGGGGUAAAGGCUCACCAAGCCGACGACCUGUAGCUGGUCUGAGAGGACGACCAGCCACACUGGGACUGAGACACGGCCCAGACUCCUACGGGAGGCAGCAGUGGGGAAUUUUGGACAAUGGGCGCAAGCCUGAUCCAGCCAUGCCGCGUGCAGGAUGAAGGCCUUCGGGUUGUAAACUGCUUUUGUACGGAACGAAAAGGUUUGACUUAAUACGUUGGACUCAUGACGGUACCGUAAGAAUAAGCACCGGCUAACUACGUGCCAGCAGCCGCGGUAA
rnacentral:rRNA from 1 species